rnacentral:siRNA from 1 species
UGAAUAAACUGAUACCGAAUGG